UACGGGGGGGGCAAGCGUUGUUCGGAAUUACUGGGCGUAAAGGGCUCGUAGGUGGCCAACUAAGUCAGACGUGAAAUCCCUCAGCUUAACUGGGGAACUGCGUCUGAUACUGGAUGGCUUGAGUUUGGGAGAGGGAUGCGGAAUUCCGGGUGUAGCGGUGAAAUGCGUAGAUAUCUGGAGGAACACCGGUGGCGAAGGCGGCAUCCUGGACCAAUACUGACACUGAGGAGCGAAAGCCAGGGGAGCAAACGGG
rnacentral:rRNA from 1 species